rnacentral:misc_RNA from 1 species
GAUGAAGAACGCAGCGAAAUGCGAUAAGUAAUGUGAAUUGCAGAAUUCAGUGAAUCAUCGAAUCUUUGAACGCACAUUGCGCCCGCCAGUAUUCUGGCGGGCAUGCCUGUUCGAGCGUCAUUACAACCCUCAGGCCCCCGGGCCUGGCGUUGGGGAUCGGCGGAAGCCCCCUGUGGGCACACGCCGUCCCUCAAAUACAGUGGCGGUCCCGCCGCAGCUUCCAUUGCGUAGUAGCUAACACCUCGCAACUGGAGCGGCGCGGCCAUGCCGUAAAACACCCAACUUCUGAAUGUUGACCUCGAAUCAGGUAGGAAUACCCGCUGAACUUAAGCAUAUCAAUAAGCGGAGGA